rnacentral:rRNA from 1 species
CCUACGGGAGGCAGCAGUGGGGGAUAUUGCACAAUGGGGGAAACCCUGAUGCAGCGACGCCGCGUGUGGGAAGACGGUCCUCUGGAUUGUAAACCACUGUCCCCAGGGACGAAGAUGACGGUACCUGGGGAGGAAGCUCCGGCUAAAUACGUGCCAGCAGCCGCGAUAAUACGUAGGGAGCGAGCGUUGUCCGGAAUUACUGGGUGUAGAGGGAGCGUAGGCGGGACUGCAAGUUGGGUGUCAAAUCUACCGGCUCAACCGGUAGCCGCACUCAAAACUGCAGUUCUUGAGUGAAGUAGAGGCAGGCGGAAUUCCUAGUGUAGCGGUGAAAUGCGUAGAUAUUAGGAGGAACACCAGUGGCGAAGGCGGCCUGCUGGGCUUUUACUGACGCUGAGGCUCGAAAGUGUGGGGAGCAAACAGGAUUAGAUACCCUAGUAGUC